rnacentral:rRNA from 1 species
AUUGAACGCUGGCGGCAUGCCUUACACAUGCAAGUCGAACGGCAGCACGGGUGCUUGCACCUGGUGGCGAGUGGCGAACGGGUGAGUAAUACAUCGGAACGUACCUUAUCGUGGGGGAUAACGCAGCGAAAGAUGUGCUAAUACCGCAUACGCCCCGAGGGGGAAAGCGGGGGAUCGAAGGACCUCGCGCGAAUAGAACGCCGGGUGCCUGAUUAGAUUGUUGGUGGGGUAAAAGCCCACAAAGGCGACGAUCAGUAGCUGGUCUGAGAGGACGAUCAGCCACACAGGGACUGAGACACAGCCCAGACUCCUAUGGGAGGCAGCAGUGGGGAAUUUUGGACAAUGGGGGCAACCCUGAUCCAGCAACGCCGCGUGAGUGAAGAAGGCGUUCGGGUUGUAAAGCUCUUUUGUCAGGGAAGAAACACCGGCUCUAACACAGUCCGGGAAUGACGGUACCUGAAGAAUAAGCACCGGCUAACUACGUGCCAGCAGCCGCCGCCG